rnacentral:rRNA from 1 species
GACGAACGCUGGCGGCGUGCUUAACACAUGCAAGUCGAACGGAAAGGCCCUGCUUGCAGGGUACUCGAGUGGCGAACGGGUGAGUAACACGUGGGUGAUCUGCCCUGCACUUCGGGAUAAGCCUGGGAAACUGGGUCUAAUACCGGAUAGGAGCCAUUUUUAGUGUGAUGGUUGGAAAGUUUUUUCGGUGUAGGAUGAGCUCGCGGCCUAUCAGCUUGUUGGUGGGGUAAUGGCCUACCAAGGCGGCGACGGGUAGCCGGCCUGAGAGGGUGGACGGCCACAUUGGGACUGAGAUACGGCCCAGACUCCUACGGGUGGCAGCAGUGGGGAAUAUUGCACAAUGGGCGCAAGCCUGAUGCAGCGACGCCGCGUGGGGGAUGACGGCCUUCGGGUUGUAAACUCCUUUCGCUAGGGACGAAGCUUUUUGUGACGGUACCUAGAUAAGAAGCACCGGCUAACUACGUG